UCUACGGGUGGCAGCAGUGAGGAAUAUUGGUCAAUGGGCGUAAGCCUGAACCAGCCAAGUCGCGUGAGGGAUGAAGGUUCUAUGGAUCGUACACCUCUUUUAUAAGGGAAUAAAGUGUGGGACGUGUCCUGGUUUGUAUGUACCUUAUGAAUAAGGAUCGGCUAACUCCGUGCCAGCAGCCGCGGUAAUACGGAGGAUCCGAGCGUUAUCCGGAUUUAGUGGGUUUAAAGGGUGCGUAGGCGGCCUUUUACGUCAGCGGUGAAAGUCUGUGGCUCAACCAUAGAAUUGCCGUUGAAACUGGGGGGCUUGAGUAUGUUUGAGGCAGGGGGAAUGCGUGGUGUAGCGGUGAAAUGAUUAGAGAUCACGCAGAACCCCGAUUGCGAAGGCAGCCUGCCAAGCCAUGACUGACGCUGAUGCACGAAAGCGUGGGGAUCAAACAGGAUUAGAUACCCCUGUAGUC
rnacentral:rRNA from 1 species